rnacentral:lncRNA from 1 species
UAAAGAACACAAACCACAAGCAGAGACUCGGAGAAGACGAGGCACGACCACUGUGACGUCACAUCCCUUAAUAAUUAUAUUUCUACACUAUACACGUUUCACAACUAUAAUUUGAACACCUGUGUGCCAUAAAUAAAUAUAUUUUUACACUAUACACAAGUGAAUCAUGUUGUGUCAUUUACAUGACGGGUAAAUUAAAUGAACAUGUCUUGAUUAGGUAUGACAUACUUCGGACAAGGAAGAGACCUGCAGAUAAAUAACACAAUUAAACAAACAAGUACUGAAAUAUAAGUGUUCCGCAUUAAGCUUGCUAGUAAGGAAAUUAUCAGGAGAUGGCUUGCUAGCUUUCACCUCUAGAUCACCCCCAUGGCAACUUGAUACAUCAGAGCAAGAAAACAUUCCCCAAUGGUUACAAACCUUCGGUGCAAAAUGACAUUCAUGGGAUCUGAAGACAUCACUAAGAAAUAUCAGGUUCUAUAUGAGUCUGACUUAUUAAAGAACAGAGAGCAAUGAAGAAAAGUGCAGUACAUUAAAUCAAGGCCAAAUGAUACAUUGCAUGCAUCAGCGAGCAGAAAAAUAAAUGGUGUCUAAUAUUAUAUUUUCCCCUUCCAAUAGAGAGACUCCUUCUAUAUGUUUAACCAGUGAUUAAUUCCGGUUACACCAAAUAAACAUAGUUCUAAAUGCUACCAACAUUUUUUAUGAAACAAAGGACAACCAAAAUUAACUCCCCUCGCAUGGAAACUUGAUGUCCUUUCAACUCUGAAAUUCCACCAAAGGUAAGCAUACAAUAAUUUUAUAGUGUAUAAUUAUACAAAAGAAGAACAUUUUACGUGUGUAGAUAGCGCAAGGUGGCAUAUUAUCAUUGAGAGCAUAUAUUAGCACAUAGUGUGAUGAAAAUUGGAACCAUAUGUACUGUCAGCAUGUCUUUCUCCUUAUUCUGUAUAUCAUCAUUUCCUCUACACUUGACAUGAUAGCUUGAGAAAAAAAAGAUGAGUAUCCAGAUAUGUACAUAGUUAUGGCUAGAUUCCUUGUUUUGUCCAAGAAAGAUAAGUCAUGAGCCCAUCAUCUUAUUACAGCAAGGCACAUCUCUAUCAGUGGUGCAAGAGGUGUAAAUUUUAUAUUUUCUUUUCAAGAAAAAACUCCUGGCAAUAUUAAACAUCAUGAUGUAACAAAUUACAAAUAUUAGUGUUAACAUAGGUUAAUAUCUAUUACUUAUGUGUGGUGCAGUUCAAUAAACCCUGAAAAAAAUUUGAAUUAUUCCUAACUAUCACCAUCAGAUCUAGGUCAAUAAAAGUUGUAGUCACAGCCUGAGCCAGAACUUUGGAUUGAGAAGGGAUUGGGAAACCCUCAAAGGAAGGAACAAGCUCACCAAAACACAGUUAUAGGCCCCAACUAUCUCAACCUUGCGCACAAAACGGCUUAAUGACUCAUAUGGGAUCAACAAGAGUGCCAGUCGCGUAAAGCUUGUUCAGAUUGCCAAGGCCGUCCACCUGAGAGCAAGACAAAAACUUAAAAUUAGGAGUCCGAAUGUGGUUAGACAAGCUAUACUAAUUUCAUUUUGAUUUUGAUCCGACAUGUGCAUUAAACAGAGCAUGGACCACGAUUGAACAGAGCAACCGCUGCAAAAUAAAUGUAUAACAAGAGCUGGCAGCAUCAACAUGUAAUAGGCAUGUAUAUUUAUCUACGGGUUUUGUCGCUAGUGAACACAUACAGUUGCAAUUGCACUUAUGCAACCUAAAGGCGAAAGAAAAAAACCACUUGUUAACCCAAAAGACUGAAAAAGUCGUAACAAAAGAAGAAAAAAAACAGCCUUCCUAAGUUCUCUAGUUGGGUGAAAAAAACCAGCUAUUCUAAAAGUGAGCACCAGAUUCCAGUAUGUAUCAUGCAGUUUUCUGUAUAUGGUUCACACAUGAAAAAGGGAUUUUGGCCAGUGCUAGGACAUGGCAUUUGUUGCCUGAUAAAAGAUUAGUUCAUGCUAUCUUCAGGACAAAGUGAGCACGUGAGUUACCAGACGAGAAGGGGAGGCCAUGAGUAAAGGUGGACUGAAACUUCUUGCUCGCUUGGAGCUUCAUGAAUCUGAUCCAUAGAAAAUUAUGUAAUCAUUUGAAAUUAGUAUACUAAAAAAAUUGAAGGUACAUUGCAGAAACGACACAUUAGCAAAAUUGAGUAAUGCAAAACCGAACCCACCAUAGGAGAAGCAUAGAAAAAAAAUCAUCUUCUGAACCCACCUACAGAUCCAAUUUAUAUGCAUCAUGCCAUGGAAUUUCCGAAUGCAUGGCCGCAGCCGCUGGCUGCAACGUCGACCCAAUGGUGCUUGUCCGGGCG